CCUGACUGCUAUCGGAUUGAUACUAAGCCAUGCGAGUCAUUGUAGCAAUACAAGGCAGACGGCUCAGUAACGCGUAGUCAAUCUACCCUAUGGACGGGAAUAACCUCGGGAAACUGAGAAUAAUGCCCGAUAGAACAUUAUGCCUGGAAUGGUUUAUGUUUCAAAUGAUUUAUCGCCAUAGGAUGGGACUGCGGCCUAUCAGUUUGUUGGUGAGGUAAUGGCCCACCAAGACUAUUACAGGUACGGGCUCUGAGAGGAGUAGCCCGGAGAUGGGUACUGAGACACGGACCCAGGCCCUAUGGGGCGCAGCAGGCGAGAAAACUUUGCAAUGUGCGAAAGCACGACAAGGUUAAUCCGAGUGGUUUCUGCUAAAGAAACCUUUUGUCAGUCCUAGAAACACUAACGAAUAAGGGGUGGGCAAGUUCUGGUGUCAGCCGCCGCGGUAAAACCAGCACCUCAAGUGGUCAGGAUGAUUAUUGGGCCUAAAGCAUCCGUAGCUCGUUUUGUAAGUUUUCGGUUAAAUCCAUGCGCUUAACGUAUGGGCUGCCGGGAAUACUGCAUAACUAGGAAGUGGGAGAGGUAGACGGUACUCGGGAGGAAGGGGUAAAAUCCUUUGAUCUCUUGAUGACCACCUGUGGCGAAGGCGGUCUACCAGAACACGUUCGACGGUGAGGGAUGAAAGCUGGGGGAGCAAACCGGAUUAGAUACCCGGGUAGUCCCAGCUGUAAACUAUGCAAACUCAGUGAUGCAUUGGCUUAUGGCCAAUGCAGUGCUGCAGGGAAGCCGUUAAGUUUGCCGCCUGGGAAGUACGUACGCAAGUAUGAAACUUAAAGGAAUUGGCGGGGGAGCACACAAGGGUGAAGCCUGCGGUUCAAUUGGAUUCAACGC
rnacentral:rRNA from 1 species